rnacentral:misc_RNA from 1 species
CAUGCGCUCUGCUCUUGACACGUGUUCGAUACGGGCCUCGGCGCAUAAAGGCAAAAUACAAUGUUUCAAAGCGGCAGCAGUGCGAGGCCCAAGCUGGAACCCGCAGCUGCUGGCUCUUACCAGCCCGUCCAGGUACCAAAGGAAAAGUACGACAAGAUUGUCGAGGGCAGAAAUCGAUUCUUAGUGACGUCCAUCGUCAGUGUCGCUGUUUUCUUAGGCAUAAGCGCCCUUCCACAGUUACUCAUUUAUCGAUGUGUUCGCCGGGUGUACCGAAACUAUUGCCACGGGAAGGUGCUUGACCUUUCUCCGAAGCUCUAUGACAAAAAAGACGUAGCGUUGUACGAGAUGUCCAAGGCUGUUCGCGUUGAGUUUCUUAUCGAGGAGAAGGUUGUAGACGACGGUCACUACCGUAUCGAUGAGGCGCUUUCAGAAACUGAGCAGGAGAAACGGCGGCGUGCCAUGACGCUGGACUUUAUGAUCCGAAACGAUCAUAACUGGGUGGGCAGCACGGUGAACUUUGCCACUGUUCUGCGUGCAGAUACGCAGUUACCGGGCUUUCAAAAGUACGAUUGCGUCCUUCUUCGUGACGAGCUGCUGAACCAGAGCGAAAGCAAGGCCCGCAAUCUUUUCGAUUCCGCAGCGCAGUACGUAAAGGAGGAUGGGAUGUUUCUUGUCAUGGAUGUCGGGAAGUCAACGUACCCGAAACUAAUCAAGCUGGCUCGGUGGUUCAGCAAAGCCACAAACAGCAGUAUGUCUUUUGCGCACGACUAUCACGGGUGGAUUCGUGAGAGCAUGCUGUACGAUAUCAAGGAGGAGCAGAGGUGUCUUUUUGGUUUCUACUACGCUCUUGUUCUUCUGCCGCGGAAGGCGGCACCGGCGAUGACGCAGAAGACGACGACGUCGAUGACAGAGGUGAAGGAGUCACAACAGCGGUCGCAUAUAAAGAGCGCAUCGUAGUCACAGAUGGACAGUUGCUCACCGAUUUCGACGUGGGAG